rnacentral:rRNA from 1 species
CCUACGGGAGGCAGCAGUGAGGAAUAUUGGUCAAUGGGCGAGAGCCUGAACCAGCCAAGUCGCGUGAGGGAGUACUGCCCUAUGGGUUGUAAACCUCUUUUGUCGGGGAGCAAAAGCCGGACGUGUCCGGCUGUGAGAGUACCCGAAGAAAAAGCAUCGGCGAACUCCGUGCCAGCAGCCGCGGUAAUACGGAGGAUGCGAGCGUUUUCCGGAUUUUUUGGGUUUAAAGGGUGCGCUGGCGGAUUUUUAAGUCAGCGGUAAAAUUGUGGGCCUCAACCCCAUCCAGCCGUUGAAACUGGGGAUCUAGAGUGUGCGAGAGGUAUGCGGAAUGCGUGGUGUAGCGGUGAAAUGCAUAGAUAUCACGCAGAACCCCGAUUGCGAAGGCAGCAUACCGGUGCACAACUGACGCUCAGGCACGAAAGCGUGGGUAUCGAACAGGAUUAGAUACCCUAGUAGUC